CACUGCCCUAAAUGACUUAGAAGGCAAGAAGUGCAACUAGAGAGAAGUCUAGGUUGUGUUUGACAUAAUGUAAGGUUAUGGGAACACAAAGAAGGGAUGAAGCUCAGCAGAACUUUGAAAUCCAAAAGGAUAGCAUCCACAUCAUCCAAGCUGGUAGAACAAGAAGCAGUCAUAUGGUGCCGCUAGCACAUGGCACACAGCUGGCUUCUCCAACCCAUCAGCCCACCAAAGAAGCUCAAACACGGUGA
rnacentral:lncRNA from 1 species